rnacentral:rRNA from 1 species
UACGUAGGCAGCGAGCGUUGUUCGGAAUUACUGGGCGUAAAGAGUGUGUAGGCGGUGCUCCCAGUCUGUUGUGAAAUCUCCCGGCUCAACUGGGAGGGUGCGCCGAAUACUGAAUGACUUCGAGUGCGGGAGAGGAGAGUGGAAUUCCUGGUGUAGCGGUGAAAUGCGUAGAUAUCAGGAGGAACACCGGUGGUGUAGACGGCUCUCUGGACCGUAACUGACGCUGAGACACGAAAAGCGUGGGUAGCAAACAGG